AACUGCGAGUGAAGCGGGAAARGCUCAAAUUUAAAAUCUGGUGGUCUUUGACCGUCCGAGUUGUAAUUUAGAGAAGCGUCUUCCGCGCCAGACCGUGCACAAGUCUCCUGGAAUGGAGCGUCAUAGAGGGUGAGAAUCCCGUCUUUGGCACGGAACCCCUGGUGCUUUUGUGAUGCGCUCUCAAAGAGUCGAGUUGUUUGGGAAUGCAGCUCAAAAUGGGUGGUGAACUCCAUCUAAAGCUAAAUAUUGGCGAGAGACCGAUAGCGAACAAGUACCGUGAGGGAAAGAUGAAAAGCACUUUGGAAAGAGAGUGAAACAGUACGUGAAAUUGUUGAAAGGGAAACGCUUGGAGUCAGUCGYGUCGGCCAAGACUCAGCCUUGCCUYGGCUUGGUGUACUUCUUGGYUGACGGGCCAGCAUCGAUUUCGUCCCUYAGAUAAUGGCRAGGGAAAGGUGGCACCUUURCRGGUGUGUUAUAGUCUCUYGUCGCAUGUGAGGGGUGGGAUCGAGGAACUCAGCACGCACCUUUUGGUGUCGGGGCUUCGGCCC
rnacentral:rRNA from 1 species